AACGAACGCUGGCGGCAUGCCUAACACAUGCAAGUCGAACGAGACCUUCGGGUCUAGUGGCGCACGGGUGCGUAACGCGUGGGAACCUGCCCUUAGGUUCGGAAUAACUCAGAGAAAUUUGAGCUAAUACCGGAUAAUGUCUUCGGACCAAAGAUUUAUCGCCUUUGGAUGGGCCCGCGUUGGAUUAACUAGUUGGUGGGGUAAAGGCCUACCAAGGCGACGAUCCAUAGCUGGUCUGAGAGGAUGAUCAGCCACACUGGGACUGAGACACGGCCCAGACUCCUACGGGAGGGCAGCAGUGGGGGAAUAUUGGACAAUGGGCGAAAGCCUGAUCCAGCAAUGCCGCGUGAGUGAUGAAGGCCGUUA
rnacentral:rRNA from 1 species